rfam:Hordeum vulgare subsp. vulgare, WGS project CAJW01000000 data, contig: morex_contig_62664
UUACUACUUCCUACGUUCCAAAAUUCUUGUCUUAGGUUUGUCUAAAAAUNNAUGUAUCUAAAUACUAAAAUGUGACUUGAUACAUUCAUAUCUAGACAAAUCUAAAACAAGAAUUUUGGGACGGAGGGAGUACUAC